rnacentral:rRNA from 1 species
GACGAAGGGGGCUAGCGUUGUUCGGAAUCACUGGGCGUAAAGGGCGCGUAGGCGGCUUUAUAAGUCGGGGGUGAAAGCCUGUGGCUCAACCACAGAAUUGCCUUCGAUACUGUAGAGCUUGAGACCGGAAGAGGUAAGUGGAACUGCGAGUGUAGAGGUGAAAUUCGUAGAUAUUCGCAAGAACACCAGUGGCGAAGGCGGCUUACUGGUCCGGUUCUGACGCUGAGGAGCGAAAGCCAGGGGAGCAAACGGG